rnacentral:tRNA from 1 species
GCUCCGGUAGUAUAGCCCGGUCAAGUAUUCCGGCCUUUCGAGCCGGAGACCCGGGUUCAAAUCCCGGCCGGAGCACCA